GACGCUGUUUCACGUGGUUUUGUGUUUCUCUUUUGUGGAGCGCGUUGAACAUUGUUAGCAAGUGGCCUAUGCUUCUAUCGUAAAGUGAUAAUCCGUGUUCCCUGCACAAGAACGGCAAUGUUUCGGAAGUACAGCAAUCAAAAGAUGGAUUACGAUGCACCUUGGAUAAUUUAUUCAGAAAUGUCGUCUGCUACACAGGGCGAGGACUGGGAGUAGAUAUGAAAAAGAAAAGUACGAAAAGCACCGGCCUCGAUUGGAGAGUGGUCUUUCUUGUAACCACGAUGACGUCACAAUCCUCCUCCUCCUCGUUUCAGCCUGCAAAGUGAGUCGAGAGGGAACGUGCGCGUCGAUGUUCGUCU